AUCACGCUGGCGGCAUGCCUAACACAUGCAAGUCGAGCGAGAAAGUGUAGCAAUACAUGAGUAAAGCGGCGCACGGGUGAGUAACACGUGGAUAACCUGCCUCGAAGUGGGGAAUAACACCGGGAAACCGGUGCUAAUACCGCAUAUACCAAUAGAGUCUGCGGAUUUUAUUGGGAAAGGAGCAAUUCGCUUUGAGAGGGGUCCGCGGCUGAUUAGCUAGUUGGUGAGGUAAUGGCUCACCAAGGCAACGAUCAGUAGCCGGUCUGAGAGGACGGUCGGCCACACUGGAACUGAGACACGGUCCAGACUCCUACGGGAGGCAGCAGUGGGGAAUUUUUCGCAAUGGGGGCAACCCUGACGAAGCAAUGCCGCGUGGGUGAUGAAGUACCUUGGUACGUAAAGCCCUUUCGGCAGGGACGAAGAAGGUGACGGUACCUGCAGAAGAAGCCCCGGCUAACUCCGUGCCAGCAGCCGCGGUAAUACGGGGGGGGCGAGCGUUGUUCGGAAUCACUGGGCGUAAAGGGCGCGUAGGCGGCCCGCACAAGUCUGCGGUGAAAACCUCCGGCUUAACCGGGGGCCGGCCGUGGAAACUGUCGGGCUGGAGGCUGGGAGAGGGCAGCGGAAUUCCCGGUGUAGCGGUGAAAUGCGUAGAGAUCGGGAGGAACACCGGCGGCGAAGGCGGCUGCCUGGACCAGUCCUGACGCUGAGGCGCGAAAGCUAGGGGAGCAAACAGGAUUAGAUACCCUGGUAGUCCUAGCCCUAAACGAUGGAUACUGGCUGUGGGGGGUAGCCAACCCCCCCGUGGCGAAGCUAACGCAUUAAGUAUCCCGCCUGGGGAGUACGGUCGCAAGUCUGAAACUCAAAGGAAUUGACGGGGGCCCGCACAAGCGGUGGAGCAUGUGGUUCAAUUCGACGCAACGCGAAGAACCUUACCUGGGCUUGAAGUGGGGCGGAAAGGGGCUGAGAGGCCCCUGUCCCUUCGGGGACUGCCCCAGAGGUGCUGCAUGGCUGUCGUCAGCUCGUGUCGUGAGAUGUUGGGUUAAGUCCCGCAACGAGCGCAACCCUUGUCCUUAGUUGCUAACGGGAGAGCCGAGCACCCUAAGGAAACUGUCGGCGAUAAGCCGGAGGAAGGCGGGGAUGACGUCAAGUCCUCAUGGCCUUUAUGUCCAGGGCUACACACGUGCUACAAUGGGCGCCACAAAGGGCCGCAAACCUGCAAAGGGGAGCCAAUCCCAGAAAAGCGCUCUCAGUUCGGAUUGGAGUCUGCAACCCGACUCCAUGAAGCUGGAAUCGCUAGUAAUCGCGGAUCAGCAUGCCGCGGUGAAUACGUUCCCGG
rnacentral:rRNA from 1 species